CUACGUGCCAGCAGCCGCGGUAAUACGUAGGGUGCGAGCGUUAAUCGGAAUUACUGGGCGUAAAGCGAGCGCAGACGGUUUAUUAAGCAAGAUGUGAAAUCCCCGAGCUUAACUUGGGAACUGCGUUUUGAACUGGUAAGCUAGAGUAUGUCAGAGGGGGGUAGAAUUCCACGUGUAGCAGUGAAAUGCGUAGAGAUGUGGAGGAAUACCGAUGGCGAAGGCAGCCCCCUGGGAUAAUACUGACGUUCAUGCUCGAAAGCGUGGGUAGCAAACAGGAUUAGAUACCCUGGUAGUCCACGCCCUAAACGAUGUCAAUUAGCUGUUGGGGCACUUGAUGCCUUAGUAGCGAAGCUAACGCGUGAAAUCGACCGCCCGGGGAGUACGGCCGCAAGGUUAAAACUCAAAUGAAUUGACGGGGGCCCGCACAAGCGGUGGAGCAUGUGGUUUAAUUCGAUGCAACGCGAAGAACCUUACCUACUCUUGACAUCCAGA
rnacentral:rRNA from 1 species